rnacentral:misc_RNA from 1 species
UACGUAGGGCGCAAGCGUUAUCCGGAAUUAUUGGGCGUAAAGCGCUCGCAGGCGGUUUCUUAAGUCUGAUGUGAAAGCCCACGGCUCAACCGUGGAGGGUCAUUGGAAACUGGGGAGCUUGAGUGCAGAAGAGGAAAGUGGAAUUCCACGUGUAGCGGUGAAAUGCGUAGAGAUGUGGUGGAACACCAGUGGCGAAGGCGACUUUCUGGUCUGUAACUGACACUGAGGCGCGAAAGCGUGGGGAGCGAACAGG